AAUCGAACCAUCAAGUAGCUGGUUCCCUCCGAAAGUUUCCCCUCAGGAUAGCUGGAACUUAAGAAGAAAUAGUUUUAUCAGGUAAAGCGAAUGAUUAGAGGCUUUGGGGAAGAAACUUCCUCGACCUAUUCUCAAACUUUAAAUAGGUAAGAUUUGAAGGAUACUUAGGUGAUCUUUCAAUCUCUUGAAUAUAAAGUUCUUAGUGGGCCAUUUUUGGUAAGCAGAACUGGCGAUGUGGGAUGAACCGAACGUUAAGUUAAAGUGCCAAAUAAUACGCUCAUGAGAUACCAUAAAAGGUGUUGGUUCAUUUUGACAGCAGGACGGUGGCCAUGGAAGUCGGAACCCGCUAAGGAGUGUGUAACAACUCACCUGCCGAAUGAACUAGCCCUGAAAAUGGAUGGCGCUUAAGCGUAUAACUUAUACUUAACCCUUACUUGAAUCAUCAUAGCGGGUAAGGAGUAGGAGGGC
rnacentral:rRNA from 1 species